rnacentral:rRNA from 1 species
AACGUAGGUGGCGAGCGUUAUCCGGAUUUACUGGGCGUAAAGGGUGUGCAGGCGGGCUGUUAAGUGGUGCAUGAAAGCUCUCGGCUCAACCGAGAGAGGCUGUGCCAGACUGGCAGUCUAGAGUACGAGAGAGGGCUGUGGAAUUCCGGGUGUAGUGGUGAAAUGCGUAGAGAUCCGGAGGAACACCAGAGGCGAAGGCGGCAGCCUGGCUCGUAACUGACGCUCAUACACGACAGCAUGGGGAGCGAACGGG